CCUACGGGAGGCAGCAGUGGGGAAUAUUGCACAAUGGGGGAAACCCUGAUGCAGCGACGCCGCGUGAGUGAAGAAGUAUUUCGGUAUGUAAAGCUCUGUCAGCAGGGAAGAAAAUGACGGUACCUGACCAAGAAGCCCCGGCUAACUACGUGCCAGCAGCCGCGGUAAUACGUAGGGGGCAAGCGUUAUCCGGAUUUACUGGGUGUAAAGGGAGGGUAGACGGGAGGGCAAGUCUGGAGUGAAAGGCGGGGGCUCAACCCCCGGACCGCUCUGGAAACUGGCAGGCUGGAGUGGAGGAGGGGUAAGGUGAAUUCCUAGGGGAGCCGGGGAAUGCGUAGAUAUUAAGAGGAACACCCGUGGCGAAGGCCGCUUACUGGACUGUAACUGACGUUGAGGCUCGAAAGCGUGGUGAGCAAACAGGAUUAGAUACCCCUGUAGUC
rnacentral:rRNA from 1 species